GCCUGCUGAGAGGAAGGUUGCUGGCGCUCAGGGCUCAUCGCUUCCGGGUCACGAGGAAGCACUUCCGGUGAGGCGGCGCGGCGUUACGGGAGAGUAUUCUUCUCAAGUGUGAGCUGCUCUACUUCUGUCCAGUUCUUCUCAUCUCUGUCUACUGAAGACCUGCCACAUCCACAGAGGCCUUUGCUCCUACCUCAUACAAGAUCAAAUGACGCCCUUCCUUAAACGUCUCCCAGUUUCUCUCUCCCUACCGCAUGUCUCCAUAGCUACUCUGCCUCCGUUUGGAGCAGAGCUCUGGGAACAGGCAUUUGUCUAAUUUGGUUCUGGAGAACGCUAACUCUCGAGACACCUGGCAGUAGGGACUUGGGCCAUGGCCUCCGACCUGGACUUCUCACCUCCUGAGGUGCCUGAGCCCACCUUCUUGGAGAAUCUGCUGCGGUAUGGGCUCUUCCUGGGAGCCAUCUUCCAGCUCAUCUGUGUCCUGGCCAUUAUCAUACCCAUUCCCAAGUCCCAUGAGGCGGCGCACAGCCACACUGAGCAGCACAGCGGAGACAGCAAGCUUAGUGCCUCUCCCUUGACACUGUACAGAUUCCGUUACCUGGGCCUGAGGGAUAGCAGCAAUUUUCUGGCCUGGCGAGCUGCACUCUCGCCACCUCAUUAUUGAUGGGGUUGUGUCCACAAAAGAUGCCUCCAUGGACCCAGGAAACACCUGGCAGUGAAGGUGUCUCUUUUUUCCCUCACCUGUCUUUUUUUCCCCUCACUUGCUUCAGAUGAGGUGCGGCACCCCCAGACUUAAAGGAGGCAGAACAGUGUGAGCCUAGAAGUGCAGAGGUGGCGAAGAAGCCCAAGGCUGCCGCUCCUUCCACCAACAAGAGGCCAAAGAAGGAGACGAAGAAGAAGCGGUAGAAGCGGAGGCCGAGGGGCCCACGGCUUUGGCCUUGGGGACAGCCCUCCUGGGAUCCAACAUCCUGCUUCCUCUCACAGACUGUCUCUGUCCUUGGCUCGGGGUUUGAGGUCAUUAAAACUCCCUCUGACCACAGGGAUCCGAACAGUCUCUAGGCCCCAGCUGUGCAGACCACCACUUCCUCUUCCUUCACUGCCCCGGAGGGGUCCGAGGUCUUGUAAGGCUCACAGAGUCAAGCACUCACAGUCAUGCUUGGGCCCAGCCGUCUUCAGAUAGAGUCAUGCUGCAUCUAACCCUAGGAGCUGUUACCUAAGGCUCCAGGCACGCCCUCUCCCAUUGUCUAGGCCAUAUCUGUCACUCUUACGUGCACAGAACUUCACAUGUGUUCAGGUCAGGAUACAGUGUGACUCAGCCCACUUGCUGCAGCAGCCAGAUCCUGAAGAUGUUGGGGGUUGGAGGGACAGUCGAAGGCCUGGGCCCCAGUGAUGCCUGCACAGGAAGGUGCUGGCUGAAUGAGGCCAGAUUUCCUGGACACGGACUUUGCAAGCCUUUGAAAUAGGCAUUUCACUUUCAGACCAACCUCUUUUUAAGCCAUUCUAACAUUCAAAGUGCCUUUGACUUCGACCUGUCAUUCCCACAUCUCUCAUUCCCUGGCCAGUGAAGAAAAUUAUGUGGAGAAGUCAAAGCAAAUAAACUGUCUUGCAUGCUGA